CCCUUCGAUGUCCUGGGCCGCACGCGCGCUACAAUGACAGUUUCAAAAAGUACAUCAAUGAUAUCUACUUUGUCUAUGUUUUUAUUGAAAAAUAAAGAUAUAGGGACUGUAGUAUAUCUACACCUUUGCUGAAACAGUAAGGGUAAUCUUAGAAAGACUGUCGUGAUGGGGAUAGAUCAUUGGAAUUAUUGGUCUUAAACGAGGAAUUCCUAGUAAGCAUAAGUCAUCAGCUUAUGCUGAUUACGUCCCUGCCCUUUGUACACACCGCCCGUCGCUCCUACCGAUUGAAUGAUCCGGUGAAGAUAUCGGAUGGUUUUGGACAUCUAUCAAUGAAUUUUGUUGAAAGAUGAAAUUUUAUUGUAAUGUCUAUCAGAAGUUAUCUAAACCUUAUUAUUUAGAGGAAGGAGAAGUCGUAACA
rnacentral:rRNA from 1 species